UGAGCCUUUUGGGACAGUGCCAGCUCUGAGCCAUCUGUAGUACCACCUUGUCAUUGUUGACAUUCUGCGCCUGUGUGCUGGCCUGCUCCCCAGGACCAUCUGAAGCCAAUGUCAGUCACAUCCUUCUGCUGCAGCCCCAGGGAUGAGGGCUCAGGGGCUCAGGGCUGCAGCGGGUGCUGUUGCUGAUAGCCUGGGCAACGCUCCCUUUCAUCCUCUCUUGGGAGAGUACUCAAGCAGGCAGGUAGACCGAAGAGAAGGAGGUCAUAUGCCCACAGAAGUAGAGAUUGGGGUGAUGUGGCCACAAAGCAAGAAAUAGCAGCAGCCAGUGGACUUUACCCCAGAGCCUCUAGAGAGAGUUCAGCCCAGCCAACACCUUGAUUUUGGUCUAGUGAAAAUGACUUCAAAUUUCUGGCCUCCAGAAUGGUCCACAGUCUGAUGGGCAUAUCGUUUCCAGGACAAGCUGCCCUUGUCCGGGUCUGAACACUCACACAUAUUACUCAGAACCCUUAUGUAUCUAUUUGACAAUGACACACCUACAGCUCUGGGUCAGGGUAUUCCAAAGCAGCUACCUCCCUCAGCUGGACAAGUCCUACAAGUCAGGCUCUGAGGCUCAGGGGAGGAUGUUGUAACAGCUCUAGCAGGAUUUUCACAUCAGAGGGUGGUCUGUGUUCUGGAGCAGUUGGUGUCCAACACACCAUGGGCUUGAGCAUGUGGGUUCAGAAUCAUAAGAGAAUCACCCAGAGGAUGUUUCUGAGCACUGACUGAUGCCUGACCUGGAAACAGGUUGUUUGCUUCAUGGAUUUAGUCUCCACCACAAACCAAGAUUAGUAGU